GCAGCACGUUCCUUGCGAUAGUAACUUCUAGUGAAAUUACAAACUCCUCAUAGUUACACUUAUAUUCCUCUAUAAUCCCCCAACCCAUGGGGUGGGGGGAAAGAAUCAAAGGGUCUUAGGGCUAGGGAAGAAAAUCAAAGAAGAGUAAAAGAAAAUGGAAAGGCAGAGGGAAAAGAAGAGAAAAAUUUCCGUGGGUAAUUCGUGAAAAUCAGUGUUUCCACUUUCC